rnacentral:rRNA from 1 species
AACGAACGCUGGCGGCAGGCCUAACACAUGCAAGUCGAGCGCCCUUUCGGGGGAGCGGCGGACGGGUGGGUAACGCGUGGGGAUAUGCCCUUCUCUACGGAAUAGCCUCGGGAAACUGAGAGUAAUACCGUAUAUGCUCUGUGGGGGAAAGAUUUAUCGGGGAAGGAUUAGCCCGCGUUGGAUUAGGAAGUUGGUGGGGUAAUGGCCUACCAAGCCGACGAUCCAUAGCUGGUUUGAGAGGAUGAUCAGACACACUGGGACUGAGACACGGCCCAGACUCCUACGGGAGGCAGCAGUGCGGAAUCUUAGACAAUGGGGGCAACCCUGAUCUAGCCAUGCCGCGUGAGUGAUGAAGGCCUUAGGGUUGUAAAGCUCUUUAAGCUGGGAAGAUAAUGACGGUACCAUAAGAAGAAGCCCCGGCUAACUCCGUG